rnacentral:rRNA from 1 species
CAAUAGCGUAUAUUAAAGUUGUUGCAGUUAAAAAGCUCGUAGUUGGAUUUCUGGUAGGAGUGACCGUGCCAGACUUGAUUGUCUGUGUAUUGUGUUUUCUCCAGCCAUCCUUGUGGAGAACUUUUCUUGCAUUAAUUUGUAGGGAUUGGGACCCGCAUCGUUUACUGUGAAAAAAUUAGAGUGUUUAAAGCAGGCAAUCGCUUGAAUACAUUAGCAUGGAAUAAUAAGAUAGGACUUUGGUACUAUUUUGUUGGUUUGCAUACCAAAUUAAUGAUCAACAGGAACAGUUUGAGGAUAUUCGUAUGAACAUGUCAGAGGUGAAAUUCUUGGAUUUUGAUCAGACGAACUACUGCGAAAGCAUUUAUCAAGGAUGUUUUCAUUAA